UUCAGUCUGUAUUCAAUAAACCAGGCAAAGUAUUGACAUCUCCACUGUCAAAAUAUGUCUUCAACUAUUUUCUGUUCUUGACAAUGCUGAUCAGCUACAGCGCCUUUGUAACGACAAGUAUUGGUACAACUUAUUACGUCCGAGACAUUGCAAGAAUUUUUGAAUAUUACGUCUACUUCUGGGGAUUUGGCGAUUUACUGGAGGAAUUUUUCAGUUGCUUUGGAAUAUUUCACGAGACUGCCAUUGAAGGAAAAUCCUACCGCAGUUACAGAACUAUUGUAAAGCGUUACUUAAACAAUUUUUGGAAUCAAGUUGACAUUCUGUCUUAUGAAUUGUUGAUCACUGCCCUGUUUGUACGACACUUUUACCCAUCCGA